rnacentral:piRNA from 1 species
UGACAGCCUGCCUUUAUCUGCUCC